UAUCAGUCAUGCAUAGCAUAUCAAUAAGCGGAGGAAAAGAAACUAACAAGGAUUCCCCUAGUAACUGCGAGUGAAGCGGGAAGAGCUCAAAUUUGAAAUCUUAAAAGGUUUUCCUUUUACGAAUUGUAGUUUAAAGAAGUGUUUUCUGUUGAAAUUUUAGUAAAAGUUCUUUGGAAUAGGACAUCAUAGAGGGUGAGAAUCCCGUAUUUGACUAGAAUUUUUCAACUUUGUGAUACACUUUCAAAGAGUCGGAUUGUUUGGGAAUGCAGUCCAAAAUGGGUGGUAAAUUUCAUCUAAAGCUAAAUAUUGGCGAGAGACCGAUAGCGAACAAGUACCGUGAGGGAAAGAUGAAAGGAACUUUGAAAAGAGAGUUAAAUAGUACGUGAAAUUGUCAAAAGGGAAGCGUUUGGCACCAGUGUUGUUUUUCUAAAAAUCAAUUUAAAAUUUACUUAUGUUAAGUAUUUUAGACUUUAUCAGCUAUAUAUUUAAUUUUUUGUAAUUUUUGAAUGCACUUUUUAGUUAACAAGUCAACAUCAAUUUCUUUUGUUGUAAAAGAAUAAGAGGAAGGUGGCUUGGAUUUAGUUCUCAAGUGUUUAUAGCCUUUUAUUUCUGCAAUAGGAGGGAUUGAGGUCUGCAGCAUAGAUCCUUCGGGGCUAGAUGCAUUUUCGCUAAGAGUCAGUAUUAUAUAAACAACUUGUUGAUUAUGUAGUAUGUUGAUUUUUACUCGGGAGUGUUAUUUUACCUACGCUUAGGAUGUUGAUCUACAGAGCGAGAGU
rnacentral:rRNA from 1 species